rnacentral:rRNA from 1 species
UACGUAGGGGGCGAGCGUUGUCCGGAUUCAUUGGGCGUAAAGAGCUCGUAGGCGGCUUACUAAGUCGAAUGUGAAAACUCCAGGCUCAACCUGGAGCCUGCAUUUGAUACUGGUAUGGCUAGAGUCCGGUAGGGGACCACGGAAUUCCUGGUGUAGCGGUGAAAUGCGCAGAUAUCAGGAGGAACACCGGUGGCGAAGGCGGUGGUCUGGGCCGGUACUGACGCUGAGGAGCGAAAGCGUGGGGAGCGAACAGG